rnacentral:rRNA from 1 species
AGCCUAGGUCGGAUUAGCUAGUUGGUGAGGUAAUGGCUCACCAAGGCGACGAUCCGUAACUGGUCUGAGAGGAUGAUCAGUCACACUGGAACUGAGACACGGUCCAGACUCCUACGGGAGGCAGCAGUGGGGAAUAUUGGACAAUGGGCGAAAGCCUGAUCCAGCCAUGCCGCGUGUGUGAAGAAGGUCUUCGGAUUGUAAAGCACUCUAAGUUGGGAGGAGGGGCAGUAAAUUAAUACUUUGCUGUUUUGACGUUACCGACGGCCUAAGCAC